CCUAGGGAGGCCUGUUCAGCUCAAGAAAGCUAGAAAGGAACUCUUUAUAGGGAGUGAAGUGAUAGGACAGGAUUUCCAACCCAAACCACUCUAUGAAUCUACUUUGAGUGUUUCUCUGAAAAUGAUGUAUGAUUGAACAGAGACAAAUUAGAAGAGUAUGCAGAGAAAGAAGUCUGGGAAGGGGAGGUUAAAAGGAAAUCAUACGCCCUUUACCACCCCAAUUUGCUCCUCCUGGAAACAUUCUCAGUGAUAGUCUGGAACCAUUAGUGUGGAAGUGACAAGUUUUCUGUCAUGGACUGACUACUGUCAACUACUGUCAAAUGACAAUUCAUUACUCUCUUAAAAAAAAAUUAAAAUAAAUUCUGUCUUUC
rnacentral:lncRNA from 1 species